GGAGUAGGCUGCAGCAAGAAGAAGCUUCUAACUUCCCUCUUAAGCGGUUUGAAUCCGUUUCUACUCUU
rnacentral:tRNA from 3 species